UGGCCACAUCACAUUGAAAUGCCUAUUCUCAUACGAUCACCAAAGUUAAGCAAUGAUGAGCCUGGUCAGUACCUAGAUAGGUGACCAGUUAGGAAUACCAGAUGCU